AACAGGAUUAGAUACCCUGGUAGUCCACGCCGUAAACGAUGAGUGCUAGGUGUUGGGGGGCUACGCCCCUCAGUGCCGAAGGUAACCCAUUAAGCACUCCGCCUGGGGAGUACGGCCGCAAGGCUGAAACUCAAAGGAAUUGACGGGGGCCCGCACAAGCGGUGGAGCAUGUGGUUUAAUUCGAAGCAACGCGAAGAACCUUACCAGGGCUUGACAUCCCGCUGACCCCUCCAGAGAUGGAGGUUUCCUUCGGGACAGCGGUGACAGGUGGUGCAUGGUUGUCGUCAGCUCGUGUCGUGAGAUGUUGGGUUCAGUCCCGCAACGAGCGCAACCCUUGUCGUUAGUUGCCAGCAUUUCGGAUGGGCACUCUAACGAGACAGCCGGUGAAAGCCGGAGGAAGGUGGGGAUGACGUCAAAUCAUCAUGCCCCUUAUGUCCAGGGCUACACACGUGCUACAAUGGCUGGUACAAAGGGCAGCGAACCCGCGAGGGGGAGCCAAUCCCAAAAAGCCAGUCUCAGUUCGGAUCGCAGGCUGCAACUCGCCUGCGUGAAGCCGGAAUCGCUAGUAAUCGCGGAUCAGCAUGCCGCGGUGAAUAUGUUCCCGGGCCUUGUACACACCGCCCGUCACACCACGAGAGUUCGCAACACCCGAAGUCGGUGAGGCAACCUUUUAGGAGCCAGCCGCCGAAGGUGGGGCAGAUGAUUGGGGUGAAGUCGUAACAAGGUAACC
rnacentral:rRNA from 1 species